UGGGAGCUCACAAGUGCCAAGCUUGGCUCAGCCCCGUCGCUAAGAGGACUUGUUCCAUGGAGAAGACCCACCCUGAAUCCCAGUGUUUGCCUUGGCUCUGGGCCACCAACAGCUGUCAUCCUUGGCCCUGAUCCAGUGCCAUGCAACCUGUGUCUGCAGAGGGCUCAUGCCACAGUCUUCCCCUUUGUGCCCUCUAGAAUGUGACCCCCUUCUUAGAGAAGAUGGAGAUGGAACCUGGAUCUGUGGUGAGGUGCCCUGGGCAACCACCAGCACAGGACAAUAUAUCAGACCAAGUUCUGCCUCACAGAUGCUGCUAUGUGAAAGAAGAAUUCAGGUGCUGCUGAGGCUGAGCUCACAGAACUGGUACAGAGCGGGUUCCAAGCCAGCCCUGUGCAACAAGUACCAAGAGGCCUACAGUGUAGAAAUGAAUGCCCAUUUGAAGAGUGUCAGCACUUGACCCUGGAUGCCAUGAUUCUGUGUUUCCUCUCCAUAAUGCACAGCUCUCAUGCAUUCAUGGACAUUGGAUAACAAGCCCUUCAGCUCUGCACCUGGGACCGUUGCACACAGCUCAAACAUCAUCCAGAAAGGAAAUAAAAAAAGAAAAAAGAAAAAGCACAACCAAAAAAAAUAAAAAAUAAAUAAAUAAAAAGCA